UACGUAGGGUGCGAGCGUUGUCCGGAAUUAUUGGGCGUAAAGAGCUUGUAGGCGGUCUGUCGCGUCUGCUGUGAAAAUCCGGGGCUCAACCCCGGACUUGCAGUGGGUACGGGCAGACUAGAGUGUGGUAGGGGAGACUGGAAUUCCUGGUGUAGCGGUGAAAUGCGCAGAUAUCAGGAGGAACACCAGCGGCGAAGGCGGCGCUCUGGGCCGGUACUGACGCUGAGGAGCGAAAGCGUGGGGAGCGAACAGG
rnacentral:rRNA from 1 species